rnacentral:pre_miRNA from 1 species
CAUGUACUCCCUCCGUCCCAAAAGUCUUGUCUUAGAUUUGUUUAGAUAUGAAUGUAUCUAGUCACAUUUUAGUAUUUAGAUACAUCCAUUUCUAGACAAACCUAAGACAAGAAUUUUGGGACGGAGGGAGUAUAUG